rnacentral:lncRNA from 1 species
GUAGGCACUAUAUCGCUUUGCAAUAUCAAUUGGACCCAUGGCUAAGAAUUUGAAAUCAGUUGAGUGAAGGCUAGUUGAGUCAUUCCUUAUCUAAAAGGGGAAAAAAAUAACAUGUCCAAGUCAAUUAUCAAUUAUAACAUAGAAUGAAACCAAUCAUCAAUGGACCCAAUAUACAUACACGACGUGAAAACCAAUCUACAAAUUCCCUAUGAACUCUCUUGUCUAUCAAAGAUGAUUGUCGACUCCGAUUUCUCAAUUGUCUUCGUAUAGUGUCUCUAAAUUCCCUACACGAAGUGUCCAAAUUAUAAAUAGUUACUUUCUAAUAAAAGACUAAUUAAUAGAAUUGAUCAAGUGAAAAUACUUACUGAAGAAAUGGGUCAACUAUGGCACUAUUUGUUAGAAUAUGACGAUGUGCCUGUAACUUUUCCU